UUUUCCUGGUGAACAGAACAGGUGUAAAUAAGAGGUGAACAUUGUUAGAUGGAUCAUAGAUGAGAAAGAGAGAGAGAAAGAGAGAGCAAUGCAGAAGUCAGUGUUGUGCGGGCAUUCUGACUCAAGAACAAUGCGGUGAUUGUGCAUUUGCGAACAUACACACGUGGGAUGGAUUCGAGGCCAUUUGUGCGUUGUUCAAAUAUUUGUGCCGGUCAAUUAUUUUCGAUGCCCGAAUCGCCCAACACAAAGGGCCGUAUUAUUACAUGGCGAAUAAUAGCUGAUUCCGCACCACGUAUUCCCCAUUCCUCAUCGUUUUCCUCCUCCGGAAAAAUUUGCGAAAAACACGAACGUUUCUCGAUUAUAUAUAUAUAUAAAACUCAUCCCGUUCGAGUUCAUUUUCACACUAAUCAAUUAUUCGCCACGUAAUCAACGUAAUUAAUCGAAACAUAUAGAAUUUAUACCUGGUCGAUUAAACGGCCUCGGAAAAACGAGGAGUUGUUUUCGGCAAGGGAGAACACAACAAGGUUGGUGUCGCGUUUUUUUCGUGGAAUUGGUGCUCCUCGAGUGCUUCCAUAAUGUGGCCGAGCGAAAUAACGAAUAAAGGUAAACGGAAAGGCGUGGAAACGGAAGAGAAGUGUGGAAACGAAAAAAAAAAAAAAAAAACAAGAAAAUAGAAAAGAACGUGUCGGUGCAUAUAUGCGUGUGCUGAUCAAAAGUGAACGAGAUACGUUCUCGUUCUCUCAAAAAAUUGUUAAGUUCGAGGCUGCUGGCUGGUAAACUCGUAAACACACAAAUUCAAGAUGAAGUGGUGCUACGCUCGAAGCCGAAUUUCGCAAAAGUGGCUGGUGCCCUUUCAUGCAGAAUCCCUUUCCUUCCCGGAGAGUACCGCGAUCGCUGUUUCCGUGUCGUCGAACAUCCAAGAUGUAUUUCUUUGCCACUCGAGUUCAACUUUCCCCCCCAUUUUUCCCCCUUAUUUACCUCUUGAUCGUUCGACGAGGAUCUAUACAGGAUAUCAAGGGGAAUCAAGACUCGUACACUCGUUUUUCUCGAAGGAGAGAGAGAGAGAGAGAGAGAGAGAAAAAGAAAGUAGAAAGCGCGCAAGUGUACGUAUUCGGGAUCGCGGUAUCUCGUCGAGCUCGAAGAUCGGGAAUCAGUGCGGUUUCACAGAUGGUGCGUUUGUGAGAGAUAGACAACUAGACAAAGUGUACGAUGUGAUACGCCGUGGGUGAUAACGCUAUCAUAUUGUGCGGUGCUCAAGUGCGUUGGUGCGUCGCGUUGCUGGCUGGGCGAUUGCUACUGCGGCUGCUGCUGCUGCUGUUGUUGUUGCGUUUUCGUUUUACGAUCGUCCUGAUUACCGGGUCCAAAGCUGUUCUCUCUUUUUUUUCUCUUUUCUUUUUCGUUCAAUCCAUUCAGCGCGGCUAUCAUCGAAGCGUACAGAGACAAAAGUUUAAUCGCGAUGUUGUCGUUUUCAUUUUUUCUACCCACCCGGUAUAUAUACGGUUUUCGAACGUUUCGAGAUAAUCGAUAAUGAUAAUGCAUGGAAACGAAACGGCGUUCUUUCAAUGACGAAGAGUUGGAAGAUCGAUCCCAUGUCGCGAGCCAAAAUUUCGAUAAUUUUAUCUUCGACGAGAGCAAUAAUCGAGAGCAAAGGUAACACUAUUGAGCAGCCCUAGCUCACUCAUUUGUCACGCGUGUUCGUUUGAAUUACUCGCGAUUGCGAUGGCUGCUGCGGCUGCUGCGGCUGCAUUUAUACGUGAUCACACAAUACCAACGAUAACAAUAAUAAUGUAAUAAAACGUAGAUACGUACGGAGACUGGCUCGUGGAAACGUUCGAUUGCUUCGAAAAGAUAAUAUUUGAAAAAA